GAUGAAGAACGUAGCGAAAUGCGAUAAGUAAUGUGAAUUGCAGAAUUCAGUGAAUCAUCGAAUCUUUGAACGCACAUUGUGCCCGCUAGUAUUCUGGCGGGCAUGCCUGUCCGAGCGUCAUUUCAACCCUCGAGAACCCCUUUUAGGGGCAAUCGGUUUUGAGGAACGACCGUCCCUGGUGGCGGUCGUCCUCUAAAUGAAGUGGCGGUCUCGCUGUAUACUCCUCUGCGUAGUAGAUUCUAUUCUCGCACUGGAGAGCGGCGCGGCCACGCCGUAAAAGAAACGAACUUUCUCAAGGUUGACCUCGGAUCAGGUAGGAAUACCCGCUGAACUUAAGCAUAUCAAUAAGCGGAGGA
rnacentral:misc_RNA from 1 species